rnacentral:rRNA from 1 species
GACGAACGCUGGCGGCGUGCUUAACACAUGCAAGUCGAACGGGCCCGCCCCUGUUUUUGGGGGUGGGUUGAGUGGCGAACGGGUGAGUAUCACGUGAGUAACCUGCCCCCUGCUCCUGGAUAACUGCUUGAAAGGGCGGCUAAUACGGGGUGUGCCGGCUGGUCCGCAUGGGCCUGGUCGGGAUAGUUUCAUCUUCGGGUGUUUCGGUGGGGGAUGGGCUCGCGGCCUAUCAGCUUGUUGGUGGGGUGAUGGCCCACCAAGGCGGUGACGGGUAGCCGGCCUGGGAGGGUGGGCGGCCACACUGGGACUGAGACACGGCCCAGACUCCUGCGGCAGGCAGCAGUGGGGGGUAUUGCACAAUGGGCGGAAGCCUGAUGCAGCGACGUCGCGUGAGGGAUGGAGGCCUUCGGGUUGUGAACCUCUUUCUCCGGUGGUGAAGGCCCUGUCCGUUGCGGCGGGGUUGACGGUAGCCGGGUAUGAAGCGCCGGCUAACUACGUG